rnacentral:rRNA from 1 species
AUUGAACGCUGGCGGCAGGCCUAACACAUGCAAGUCGAACGAGUGGCGGACGGGUGAGUAAUGUCUGGGAAACUGCACGAUGGAGGGGGAUAACUACUGGAAACGGUAGCUAAUACCGCAUACCAUCGGAUGUGCCCAGAUGGGAUUAGCUAGUAGGUGGGGUACCGGCUCACCUAGGCGACGAUCCCUAGCUGGUCUGAGAGGAUGACCAUCCACACUGUAACUGGUACACGGUCCAGACUCCUACGGGGUGCAGCAGGGGGGAAUAUUGCACAAUGGGCGCAAGCCUGAUGCAGCCAUGCCGCGUGUAUGAAGAAGGCCUUCGGGUUGUAAAGGACUUUCAGCGAGGAGGCGUUACUCGCAGAAGAAGCACCGGCUAACUCCGGGCCAGCAGCCGCGGUAAUUC